GUUAUUGUAGCUUACCCUAAAGCAUGGCACUGAAGCUGCCAAGAUGGAUGAACAAUCAUCCCAAAAACA
rnacentral:tRNA from 1 species